CAUAAAAUCAAAAAUCAAACAAACUCUCUCUCUUCUAAUUCCAGCCAUUGCCGCUGCCAACUGUCGUGCCCUGGCCUGUCGUCAAACACCGCGAAUUAGGGCUCGAAGCCCAGCCGAUGUCGAAGUAUGCUCUCAGUCGUCAUGCCCGUCGCCACAUCCACCGCGAACUAGGGCUCGAAGCCUUGCCCCGCACCUCUCGUCGAAGCCGUUGUCGCCGUUGAAGCCGCUCGCUGCUGCCACCUCAAAGCCCCUGCCGCCGCCCCGGCCCUCCCAUCAAAUGUGGCCGCCGUCCUCAAGUCCGCUGCCGCCAUCGAACCUGGUAAGAUUUUCUUACAAAGUUUUUCAGUUGGUGCUUCGUUUAGUUAUGUGCAGCACAUGUAAGAUUUUAUUCUAGAAGAAAAUUGAUCUAUCUUACAAAAUUUUCAGUUUGGUGCUUCGUUUUCAAAUCGUUAUAUUUACUCUUUAGAAUCAGAUAAUGAUGAAAUUGAGAUGUAUAUAAAAAGAAAAAAAACCCUUAAAAGCACAAAGAAGCAGACUAAGGGUCGAGCCUCAUUAAAACUUUGCUAAGGUAAACCCCAAGGGAAAACCCUUAACAAGGAAAAAUAGUGCUCGUCAAGACAAAACCAAACGAAACGCAGAAGGCUGGAGAUUGGGAAGGACCACUUCGGGAGCGCCAGCCUAACCAUUGCCCCCAAGCGGCCCCGGUCUCUCCGAAGCUGGAAAAAUAAACAAGACAACAUAGCAAAACAUAAAACAACGCAAAAAUUCUCAACCUCCUUAUCCACCAAGACACAAACCGCCGAUAGCAGCACAUACCCAAGGCAGGAACAACCGAGCCACAUACUAAAAAACCUCAUGGAAGAAGCAUCCAAAGAAGAAAAGUAAAACAACCCAUAACCUGAACGCGCACCAAGUGUUUGCAAAAAUGCCGCCAAGAGAGCACAACCCAUAA
rnacentral:lncRNA from 1 species